rnacentral:lncRNA from 1 species
UUCGGACAGGUACAGUGGACGUCCGGACUGGUGUCGACAGGGAGGGAAAACCCAAGGUUCUGGUCCUUUUCUCUACUCUUCCUUUUGCCUGUAACUUUGGGUCAGGUACUGGAAUUUGGGCCCCAAUUUCCUUGCACAAAGGCAGAACCAAAUAGACGAAGCUUCACAGAUGCCCCAGAAAUGACCAUUAUCCACAGACUGCAGAGACUCUCCAGUAUCCAUGUGAAGACGUUUCAAAACAUCACCGUGGAGUCUAGGCCUGCCAUCUAUGGAUCCUGACCAGUGUUACAGAAACACAGACUAGUGAACCUGUUAGUGUUAAGAGUUGGAAGAAAACCGACGGAGCACAGACAGCCUGCAGGUCUAGCCUGCAAAUGUUCUGGAAUUUUCUAUCACCCCCUACUGACACACCUGAACGUUCCUCUUUGGCCACCUGGAUGAUGCAAAAUAUAGGACCUUUGUUCAUCCCGCGUGUGGAUGGAAUUGGGCCAUAGGAAAGGGAAAAAAAAGGUUUUUUCAGCUUUUUCAAAACUUGAGAGCUGGCAAGGCCGCACAGCCAGGAAAGGCUUGUGCUACUAAGCCUGACAACCUGAGUCCAAUCCCUGAACUCCCAUGAUGGAGGAGAGGACUGACUCUCACAGAUUGUCAUAUGACCACAUGGAUACCCAUUCCCCACCCCACCCCCCAUGUUAAAUAAAUAAGCGUAAUGGUAGUUUGAGACACAAGAUUGCUUUUAAUCCCCCCUCCUCCCAGUGCCCGGGAUCAUAGCUAGGGUCUCAGACAUGCUAAGCAAGCACUCUACCACAGAGCUCCAAGUUCAGACCCCCCAGGCCCCUGCAAAGGAUUGAUGUUGAUGGACAUUCAGACCAUUCUUCCCGUGACAAAUAGGAUGUGGGGGGAUGUGGAGGCAAACCUGGUGAAGGAAGAAAUGAGACGGAGAACAAGGCACCCCAAGCUCCUACGACCCCUUAAAGAGUCCUGAUCCAGUGUCCACAGUGUAUGAUCUGACUUGCUCCGGGCGUACCCGUGAGACAACACAAAGAACCUGAGGCCAGAGCAGUGGCUGCUUUGCUUGUCUUCAUGGAAAUCUCCCUGGGGGAUCGGGGAUCGGACUCUCUCCUGCAGGCUCGUGGUCAGAUUGACACUCUGAUCAUUCUGUGAAAGAUGCUAAUGGGAACGAGCAGGUGUGUGUGACCCUGUACUUCAGCUGCUCUGAAACUGUGACUUUUUUUUUUUAAGAUUUGUUUUAUUUUUAUGUGAUUGCUAUCUCUGCAAAGAUGUUUGUGGACCAUGUAUCUGCCCUGUGCCUGAGGAGGUCAGAAGUGGCUGUUGUUGGAUUACAAAUGUUAGACGUCAGGAUCAGCCAAAUGAGAAGACUCAGAGGGGCACCAGGGAAGCAACCAUCCAUCACU